CCUACGGGAGGCAGCAGUGGGGAAUAUUGCGCAAUGGGGGAAAGAGUGAUGCAGCGACGCCGCGUGAGUGAAGAAGGAAUUCGGUAUGUAAAGCUCUAUCAGCAGGGAAGAAAAUGACGGUACGUGAGUAAGAAGCCCCGGCUAACUACGUGCCAGCAGCCGCGGUAAUACGGAGGGGGCAAGCGUUAUCCGGAAUGACGGGGGGUAAAGGGAGCGUAGGCGGCAGUGCAAGUCAUGAGUGAAAGGCGGGGGCUCAACCUCCGGACUGCUCGGGAAACUGUACUGCUGGAGUGCAAGAGAGGAAAGUGGAAUUCCUAGUGUAGCGGUGAAAUGCGUAGAUAUUAGGAGGAACACCAGUGGCGAAGGCGGCUUACUGGACUGUAACUGACGUUGAGGCUCGAAAGCGUGGGGAGCAAACAGGAUUAGAUACCCUUGUAGUC
rnacentral:rRNA from 1 species